GGUGCAGACCCAGGCUUCAUAAAGGUCCUGCAGAUGGUGCUUGGUUAGUGUUAGUGAGAUAGGAGAGUCAGGAGUGUUCCUUGGCUUCCACUUACUAAGGGAGUUUUCAAGCACAUACAAGAAUAAAAUGCAGUUUCAAAAAGCAUCAACCCUUUGGAUCCUGCCUGAGGAUGUGUUCAAGAAGAUAGACAAGCUAGAUAACAAGCUCUCUCUGAAGCAAUGGUAUGUGCGUCUCUUAUGCCAGUCACCUGUGGUAUGGUGGUUCUUUCCCUUUCUUUGGGCAACUAUGAAAGUACAGAGAAGAUUCAAGGUGUGCCCUGACCAUGUUUCUCUGCAGACCUCCGCACCAGCAACUGGGUGCAGGGUCCGUCCUCCUACCCUCUGUUACUGAGCACACCUCUUCUGGACAAGUGUCUUCAUCUGCCAUGGGACAGAACAGUCAGAGCAGACUUUGCUUUGGCCCAUAGAUACAACUGUGCAAGCAAGGCACAAGGAGACCUGAGAGAGCUGGGGAGAGGGUCCCGUGGCUGCUCUGAGCAUCCUGAAAGGACAACUACAAGCAGCCAAGCGCUCCUGGAACACCCCGAAUGGCUGAAGGUAAAUCUGAAGAACAAUGAACAAAAAAGGAGCUUUUUCAGUUGGGCAGGAAGAGAGCGAGGAAGAGAUGGUGCGUCCUCCUGUUUUGCAUGGACUUCUAACUGCAGCAAAAUGACUAAAGAACAGUGAAUAAUCACCCUUUCCUAAAGCCAGUUUUUGCAUUUGUUUUGUUGUAUAUAUGUAGUUGCUGUGCACUCUUGUGCUUAUAUUGUCUAAUUGUAUGCUGGGGAGAUGUGAAGUUUUACACAAGUCUGAACUUGAUCCAUCAUAUUCCAGUUAUGAUAAUAGCUAAUUAAGAGAAUGUGAAAUUAAAAUGCAUUCUUCUCUAGAGGGACCAAAAUGAGAAUACAGAAGAAAGCUAGAGAAAGAUAUAGUGAAAAGUAAUGCCCCUUAAUAUCCUAUUGAUUGAAAGUGCUUUUGAAAUACAAUAGAUAAAUAAAGGUAUUGGAAAGUCAGCUUAGAGAACAGCUGUGCAUGAAGAGCUAGCUAUCCUUUCUCUGUUGAAGUAGUUACAAAGUCUUUCCUGCUAUGUUAAUACUAUUAAUACUGUAGAUUCAAAAGGCUAGAUCUAGAAAAAUAAAUACUUUGUUUACUGUUUAUCAUCCUAUAUUCUGCCGAGGACUUCUCAGAACUACCGUGUUGUUGUGUUGUAGCAGCCCCCUUGUCACUGCAGGGCUGCACUAGACUGUGAGGCAGGCACACUGGGACUUGUUUUUCUAGUGAUUUCCAUUUUGGCUUCUGAGCUCCUUAAGAAAACACUAAGUCUAUAAAUCCUGAGCAACAUACUGUAUGUGAUGUCCGCUUGUACUUGUUGUGCUACAAUCUGCUUUCCACAGAAGUUUCUUCAGCCUAACAAAUAUUUGAUCCCUGUGCUUUCUACAUAAUGAAAUAUGUAUAUGUUGGUAUGAUUAUUUGGUCCCACUGUUUUAAGGUAAAUUUUGGGAAAUGGCAGCUUCAUGGUGGGGUGGGGUGGGGGUGAAGAGUUAAGCAAAUAAACAAAACCCCCUUGAACUGUUGAGCUAAUAUGGGAAAACACAUUAUUUCUGUAGCCAAUA